GCAGGAAUGGCGGAAUGGUAUACGCGUCAGAUUUAGAAUCUGAAUUUUGAAGGUUCGAAAUGCUUUGCAUUCGUGAACACAUUUAAAAAACAAUCAAAAAGGAUGUGAACAAUCCUUCUUUCUGUA
rnacentral:tRNA from 1 species